GGUGAGUAACACGUGGGUAACCUGCCCUUCAGCGGGGGAUAACAUCCGGAAACGGGUGCUAAUACCGCAUAGUUUCUUUUUCCGCCUGGAAGAAGAAGGAAAGAUGGCCUUUGUGCUAUCACUGAGGGAUGGACCCGCGGCGUAUUAGUUAGUUGAUGGGGUAAUGGCCUACCAAGACGAUGAUACGUAGCCGACCUGAGAGGGUGAUCGGCCACAUUGGGACCGAGACACGGCUCAAACUCCUACGGGAGGCAGCAGUAGGGAAUCUUCCGCAAUGGACGAAAGUCUGACGGAGCAACGCCGCGUGAGUGAAGAAGGUUUUCGGAUCGUAAAACUCUGUUGUCGGAGAAGAACAAGUAGGAGAGUAACUGUUCCUACCUUGACGGUACCCGACCAGAAAGCCACGGCUAACUACGUGCCAGCAGCCGCGGUAAUACGUAGGUGGCAAGCGUUGUCCGGAUUUAUUGGGCGUAAAGCGAGCGCAGGUGGUUUCUUAAGUCUGAUGUGAAAGCCCACGGCUCANCCGUGGAAGGUCAUUGGAAACUGGGGAACUUGAAUGCAGAAGANGAGAGUGGAAUUCCAUGUGUAGCGGUGAAAUGCGUAGAUAUAUGGAGGAACACCAGUGGCGAANGCGACUCUCUGGUCUGUUAUUGACACUGANGCUCGAAAGCGUGGGGAGCAAACAGGNUUANAUACCCUGGUAGUCCACGCC
rnacentral:rRNA from 1 species